GGACUUUCUUAAGCAUAACUGGCCUUUCCCAGCCUAGGUGUCAUAAAGACUGUGAUGAAAUGACUCCUGCUUUUACCAAGAAUGUCACAAAUGUCCAGGCAAAUUGGCAGUCCCCAUUAGACAGAACAUCUCUGUGCUUCAAUUUCUGUGCUAGUUGGACAUAAAGGCUGUGACUCUUGGGUGGAAUAUUCCCAAUGACAAGAAAUGAAGCUGUAUGCAUACUUUCCCCAACCAGAUGACCCAAGCUUAAUUCCCAGGACCCACAUCAAGUGACUCACAAACAUCUGUAACUCCAGCUCCAGGGAAUCUAACAUCCUCUUCUGGCUUCCGUAAGCACUGUAUGCACAUUGUACACAUAUAGACAAGCAGGCAUGCAUGUGUAUAAACAAAUAAAUUUCAAGUGUAUCUGAGCAAAA